GACGAACGCUGGCGGCGUGCCUAAUACAUGCAAGUUGAGCGCUGAAGGUUGGUACUUGUACCAACUGGAUGAGCAGCGAACGGGUGAGUAACGCGUGGGGAACCUGCCUUUGAGCGGGGGACAACAUCUGGAAACGAAUGCUAAUACCGCAUAAUAACUUUAAACACAAGUUUUAAGUUUGAAAGAUGCAAUUGCAUCACCUAAAGAUGAUCCCGCGUUGUAUUAGCUAGUUGGUGAGGUAAAGGCUCACCAAGGCGAUGAUACAUAGCCGACCUGAGAGGGUGAUCGGCCACAUUGGGACUGAGACACGGCCCAAACUCCUACGGGAGGCAGCAGUAGGGAAUCUUCGGCAAUGGACGAAAGUCUGACCGAGCAACGCCGCGUGAGUGAAGAAGGUUUUCGGAUCGUAAAACUCUGUUGGUAGAGAAGAACGUUGGUGAGAGUGGAAAGCUCAUCAAGUGACGGUAACUACCCAGAAAGGGACGGCUAACUACGUG
rnacentral:rRNA from 1 species